GGGAGGGCGGGGGCCAAAGGGGGCCAAGGGCUGGGGAGCCGGGCGCGGAGAGCGGCCCGUCGCGUUCAUUUCCAUAAGAAAGCUGAAAUCGCGGUUGGAGGGAGGAUUUCUCGCCCUAGCCGCCCUCCCCCCUACACCCGGGUUUCUGCGAGACGCGGGCUCCGGAGCUCAGAGCCCUGCGUUGCGCGCUGGUCUCCGAUGGUAUUGAUAAAACGCGGUUUCACACGGCGCCCCGGCCGAGGCCGGUUUCCGUCUGUGUGCGGAGUGGAAGGAGCGCGGGAAGGGUUGACAAGACAGAGACAUUAAGUUGCAGAAAAUGCAGCGGACUGAUCAGCCAGAAUGCAUCUCAUUUGCACUUGUACGGAGCCAGGGCGGGGGACCAUGGUCUCAUUGUGCCAUCGGAGGAACAGCCCCCGACAAGGCCCUGAGCACCCAGGCGCAGCCACCCACCCAUGCCCACGGCAGGCCUGAGGGAGCGUAGGGGCUGAGGCUGUGAAGCCGGGCAGCCGGCCUUGUCCCAUUGACAGCCGGGGCACGUCUGCGGAGCCCCGGAGCCCCGUGGAACAAUCAACGGACUCUAUGUCCCGGGAGCUGGGGACACACCUGUAAGGUGUGUGAUAAUUUAAAGAUUCUUGGUACUACUUUUGCUUGAAUCCUUUGUUACAGCUUUGUCAGCUUGCGCGCCUUCAGCUGCUUCCCUUCCCGGGCUGCCCCAACCCCCCACCACAG
rnacentral:lncRNA from 1 species